rnacentral:rRNA from 1 species
GGAUGAACGCUAGCUACAGGCUUAACACAUGCAAGUCGAGGGGCAUCAGGAAGAAAGCUUGCUUUCUUUGCUGGCGACCGGCGCACGGGUGAGUAACACGUAUCCAACCUGCCCUUUACUCGGGGAUAGCCUUUCGAAAGAAAGAUUAAUACCCGAUGGCAUAAUGAUUCCGCAUGGUUUCAUUAUUAAAGGAUUCCGGUAAAGGAUGGGGAUGCGUUCCAUUAGGUUGUUGGUGAGGUAACGGCUCACCAAGCCUUCGAUGGAUAGGGGUUCUGAGAGGAAGGUCCCCCACAUUGGAACUGAGACACGGUCCAAACUCCUACGGGAGGCAGCAGUGAGGAAUAUUGGUCAAUGGGCGCUAGCCUGAACCAGCCAAGUAGCGUGAAGGAUGAAGGCUCUAUGGGUCGUAAACUUCUUUUAUAUAAGAAUAAAGUGCAGUAUGUAUACUGUUUUGUAUGUAUUAUAUGAAUAAGGAUCGGCUAACUCCGUGCCAGCAGCCGCGGUAAUACGGAGGAUCCGAGCGUUAUCCGGAUUUAUUGGGUUUAAAGGGAGCGUAGGUGGACUGGUAAGUCAGUUGUGAAAGUUUGCGGCUCAACCGUAAAAUUGCAGUUGAUACUGUCAGUCUUGAGUACAGUAGAGGUGGGCGGAAUUCGUGGUGUAGCGGUGAAAUGCUUAGAUAUCACGAAGAACUCCGAUUGCGAAGGCAGCUCACUGGACUGCAACUGACACUGAUGCUCGAAAGUGUGGGUAUCAAACAGGAUUAGAUACCCUGGUAGUCCACACAGUAAACGAUGAAUACUCGCUGUUUGCGAUAUACAGUAAGCGGCCAAGCGAAAGCAUUAAGUAUUCCACCUGGGGAGUACGCCGGCAACGGUGAAACUCAAAGGAAUUGACGGGGGCCCGCACAAGCGGAGGAACAUGUGGUUUAAUUCGAUGAUACGCGAGGAACCUUACCCGGGCUUAAAUUGCAGUGGAAUGAUGUGGAAACAUGUCAGUGAGCAAUCACCGCUGUGAAGGUGCUGCAUGGUUGUCGUCAGCUCGUGCCGUGAGGUGUCGGCUUAAGUGCCAUAACGAGCGCAACCCUUAUCUUUAGUUACUAACAGGUUAUGCUGAGGACUCUAGAGAGACUGCCGUCGUAAGAUGUGAGGAAGGUGGGGAUGACGUCAAAUCAGCACGGCCCUUACGUCCGGGGCUACACACGUGUUACAAUGGGGGGUACAGAAGGCAGCUAGCGGGUGACCGUAUGCUAAUCCCAAAAGCCUCUCUCAGUUCGGAUCGAAGUCUGCAACCCGACUUCGUGAAGCUGGAUUCGCUAGUAAUCGCGCAUCAGCCACGGCGCGGUGAAUACGUUCCCGGGCCUUGUACACACCGCCCGUCAAGCCAUGGGAGCCGGGGGUACUUAAAGUACGUAACCGCAAGGA